UACAGAGGUCUCAAGCGUUGUUCGGCUUCAUUGGGCGUAAAGGGUGCGUAGGCGGCUCGGUAAGUCGGGUGUGAAAUCUCGGAGCUUAACUCCGAAACUGCAUUCGAUACUGCCGUGCUUGAGGACUGGAGAGGAGACUGGAAUUUACGGUGUAGCGGUGAAAUGCGUAGAUAUCGUAAGGAAGACCAGUGGCGAAGGCGGGUCUCUGGACAGUUCCUGACGCUGAGGCACGAAGGUCAGGGGAGCAAACGGG
rnacentral:rRNA from 1 species